rnacentral:rRNA from 1 species
AGAACGAACGCUGGCGGCAUGCCUAACACAUGCAAGUCGAACGAGACCUUCGGGUCUAGUGGCGCACGGGUGCGUAACGCGUGGGAAUCUGCCCUUGGGUACGGAAUAACAGCGAGAAAUUGCUGCUAAUACCGUAUAAUGACUUCGGUCCAAAGAUUUAUCGCCCAGGGAUGAGCCCGCGUAGGAUUAGCUUGUUGGUGAGGUAAGAGCUCACCAAGGCGACGAUCCUUAGCUGGUCUGAGAGGAUGAUCAGCCACACUGGGACUGAGACACGGCCCAGACUCCUACGGGAGGCAGCAGUGGGGAAUAUUGGACAAUGGGCGAAAGCCUGAUCCAGCAAUGCCGCGUGAGUGAUGAAGCCUUAGGGUUGUAAAGCUCUUUGCCCGGAUGAUAAUGACAGUACCGGAGAAUAAGCUACCGGCUAACUCCGCGCCAGCAGCCGC